rnacentral:rRNA from 1 species
UACGAAGGGGGCUAGCGUUGUUCGGAAUUACUGGGCGUAAAGCGCGCGCAGGCGGCUCUUCAAGUCAGGGGUGAAAGCCCAGAGCUCAACUCUGGAACUGCCUUUGAGACUGUAGAGCUUGAGUACGGGAGAGGUGAGUGGAAUUCCCAGUGUAGAGGUGAAAUUCUUAGAUAUGACACAGAACACCAAUUGCGAAGGCAGCUCGCUAAACUGUAACUGACGCUGAGACACGAAAGCGUGGGGAUCAAACAGG